rnacentral:piRNA from 1 species
ACAGAGGAUAACUUUUGGACAUGGG